CCUACGGGAGGCAGCAGCGGGGAAUUUUUGGACAAUGGACGCAAGUCUGAUCCAGCCAUGCCGCGUGCGGGAAGAAGGCCUUCGGGUUGUAAACCGCUUUUGUCGGGGAAGAAACGAGUUUCUCUAAUACAGAGACUUAAUGACGGUACCUGAAGAAUAAGCACCGGCUAACUACGUGCCAGCAGCCGCGGUAAUACGUAGGGUGCAAGCGUUAAUCGGAAUUACUGGGCGUAAAGCGUGCGCAGGCGGUUAUGCAAGACAGAUGUGAAAUCCCCGGGCUCAACCUGGGAACUGCAUUUGUGACUGCAUGGCUAGAGUACGGUAGAGGGGGAUGGAAUUCCGCGUGUAGCAGUGAAAUGCGUAGAUAUGCGGAGGAACACCGAUGGCGAAGGCAAUCCCCCUGGACCUGUACUGACGCUCAUGCACGAAAGCGUGGGGGAGCAAACAGGAUUAGAUACCCCUGGUAAGUCCACGCCCUAAAACGAUGUACAACUGGUUGUUAGGGUAGGGUUUUCCUUCUCAAGUAACGAAGCUAACGCGUGAAGUUGACCGCGUGGGGAGUACGGCCGNAAGGUUGAACUCGAAAGAUUGAGNGNGAGAGNGCGAGACGACGACGAGGGAGGAGG
rnacentral:rRNA from 1 species